GAUGAAGAACGCAGCGAAAUGCGAUACGUAAUGUGAAUUGCAGAAUUCAGUGAAUCAUCGAGUCUUUGAACGCACAUUGCGCCCGCCAGUAUUCUGGCGGGCAUGCCUGUUCGAGCGUCAUUUCAACCCUCAAGCACAGCUUGGUGUUGGGACUCGCGUUAAUUCGCGUUCCCCAAAUUGAUUGGCGGUCACGUCGAGCUUCCAUAGCGUAGUAGUAAAACCCUCGUUACUGGUAAUCGUCGCGGCCACGCCGUUAAACCCCAACUUCUGAAUGUUGACCUCGGAUCAGGUAGGAAUACCCGCUGAACUUAAGCAUAUCAAUAAGCGGAGGA
rnacentral:misc_RNA from 1 species